GUAAUCAUGGAAGUAGCUAUUGUUGACUACUGACUACUAGCUUCGCCUUCGGUCAACAUUUGAUCUUGUUGCGGAUGUAUUAUUCCCAUACUUUCCCUACCAAAGCCGUUCUAUAGUAGGCAGUCGGAGGGGGGUUGUUCCCAAAUUAACAUUAUUUCAUUUAUUUGUUACGUCCCUGAGAUCGCGAGUCGGCCGCUGAUGCCAAUCAAUGUAGUUUCUUGGUUUCAAUUGUGUGGUCCUGGCACGGAGAUCGCUGAAACAAUGCUGGCAUUUGUCUAUGACAGAAGAGUGACUUCCAUCAACGUUCUGCUCCAUCCUUGACUUCGUGACCCAUGCUCAUCCAGCCACUGACGAGUUAGGCCACUUCAGUGGUCGCUUCCGUCCGCUGUGUCACACCUAUAGUCACUCACCACGGGAUUAAGCCCAUGUUCGCGAAAGUUUACUUAUCUUCGUAGAUCAUCUACUUAUAAACUCCUUGCUUUAAACUCUGUGCCUGUGUAAUAAUUCCUAAAUCAGGCCCUUCCUGCGAGUUCUGUGUACAGUUCUAAAUAUUGCAACCUGGAUUUUAACCAAAUAAAAGCUCUUUUAAAUUUUUCAGUUAA